rnacentral:rRNA from 1 species
AUGCACGCUGGCGGCGUGCCUAAUACAUGCAAGUCGAGCGAACAGACGAGGAGCUUGCUCCUCUGACGUUAGCGGCGGACGGGUGAGUAACACGUGGAUAACCUACCUAUAAGACUGGGAUAACUUCGGGAAACCGGAGCUAAUACCGGAUAAUAUAUUGAACCGCAUGGUUCAAUAGUGAAAGACGGUUUUGCUGUCACUUAUAGAUGGAUCCGCGCCGCAUUAGCUAGUUGGUAAGGUAACGGCUUACCAAGGCAACGAUGCGUAGCCGACCUGAGAGGGUGAUCGGCCACACUGGAACUGAGACACGGUCCAGACUCCUACGGGAGGCAGCAGUAGGGAAUCUUCCGCAAUGGGCGAAAGCUUGACGGAGCAACGCCGCGUGAGUGAUGAAGGUCUUCGGAUCGUAAAACUCUGUUAUUAGGGAAGAACAAAUGUGUAAGUACCUAUGCACGUCUUGACGGUACCUAAUCAGAAAGCCACGGCUAACUACGUG